rnacentral:rRNA from 1 species
UACGAAGGGGGCUAGCGUUGUUCGGAAUCACUGGGCGUAAAGCGCACGCAGGCGGAUUGAUAAGUCAGGGGUGAAAUCCCGGAGCUCAACUUCGGAAUUGCCUUUGAUACUGUCUGUCUUGAGUCCGGGAGAGGUGAGUGGAAUUCCUAGUGUAGAGGUGAAAUUCGUAGAUAUUAGGAAGAACACCAGUGGCGAAGGCGGCUCACUGGCCCGAUACUGACGCUGAGGCACGAAAGCGUGGGGAGCAAACAGG